rnacentral:rRNA from 1 species
AUUGAACGCUGGCGGCAGGCCUAACACAUGCAAGUCGAACGAGUGGCGGACGGGUGAGGAAUGUCUGGGAAACUGCCCGAUGGAGGGGGAUAACUACUGGAAACGGUAGCUAAUACCGCAUACCAGAGGAUGUGCCCAGAUGGGAUUCGCUAGUAGGUGGGGUAACGGCUCAACUAGGCGACGAUCCCUAGCUGGUCUGAGAGGAUGACCAGCCCCCCUGGAACUGAGACACGGUCCAGACUCCUACGUGAGGCAGCAUUGGGGAAUAUUGCACAAUGGGCGCAAGCCUGAUGCAGCCAUGCCGCGUGUAUGAAGAAGGCCUUCGGGUUGUAAAGUACUUUCAGCGAGGAGGCGUUACUCGCAGAAGAAGCACCGGCUAACUCCGUGCCAGCAGCCGCGGUAAUUC